UAGGGAAUCUUCGGCAAUGGACGAAAGUCUGACCGAGCAACGCCGCGUGGGUGAAGAAGGUUUCCGGAUCGUAAAACUCUGUUGUUAGAGAAGAACAAGGACGUUAGUAACUGAACGUCCCCUGACGGUAUCUAACCAGAAAGCCACGGCUACCUACGUGCCAGCAGCCGCGGUAAUACGUAGGUGGCAAGCGUUGGCCGGAUUUAUUGGGCGUAAAGCGAGCGCAGGCGGUUUCUUAAGUCUGAUGUGAAAGCCCCCGGCUCAACCGGGGAGGGUCAUUGAAAACGGAGAGAGUUGAGUAGAGAAGAGGAGAGUGGAAUUCCAUGUGUAGCGGUGAAAUGCUUAGAUAUAUGGAGAAACACCAGUGGCGAGGGCGGCGCUCUGGUCUGUAACGGACGCUGAGGAUCGAAAGCGUGGGGAGCAAACAGG
rnacentral:rRNA from 1 species